GAUGAACGCUGGCGGCGUGCCUAAUACAUGCAAGUCGAGCGAACGGACGAGAAGCUUGCUUCUCUGAUGUUAGCGGCGGACGGGUGAGUAACACGUGGAUAACCUACCUAUAAGACUGGGAUAACUUCGGGAAACCGGAGCUAAUACCGGAUGAUAUUUUGAACCGCAUGGUUCAAAAGUGAAAGACGGUCUUGCUGUCACUUAUAGAUGGAUCCGCGCUGCAUUAGCUAGUUGGUAAGGUAACGGCUUACCAAGGCAACGAUGCAUAGCCGACCUGAGAGGGUGAUAGGCCACACUGGAACUGAGACACGGUCCAGACUCCUACGGGAGGCAGCAGUAGGGAAUCUUGCGCAAUGGGCGAAAGCCUGACGGAGCAACGCCGCGUGAGUGAUGAAGGUCUUCGGAUCGUAAAACUCUGUUAUUAGGGAAGAACAUAUGUGUAAGUAACUGUGCACAUCUUGACGGUACCUAAUCAGAAAGCCACGGCUAACUACGUG
rnacentral:rRNA from 1 species